rnacentral:rRNA from 1 species
CAGUCGAACGGACUCAUAUUGAAACCUAGUGAUUUAUGAGUUAGUGGCGGACGGGUGAGUAACGCGUGGAUAACCUACCGUAUACCGGGGGAUAACACUUAGAAAUAGGUGCUAAUACCGCAUAAGCGCACGGCUCCGCAUGGGGCAGUGUGAAAAACUCCGGUGGUAUACGAUGGAUCCGCGUCUGAUUAGCUAGUUGGCGGGGUAACGGCCCACCAAGGCAGCGAUCAGUAGCCGGCCUGAGAGGGUGGACGGCCACAUUGGGACUGAGACACGGCCCAAACUCCUACGGGAGGCAGCAGUGGGGAAUAUUGCACAAUGGGGGAAACCCUGAUGCAGCGACGCCGCGUGAGUGAAGAAGUAUCUCGGUACGUAAAGCUCUAUCAGCAGGGAAGAAAAUGACGGUACCUGACUAAGAAGCCCCGGCUAACUACGUGCCAGCAGCCGCGGUAAUACGUAGGGGGCAAGCGUUAUCCGGAUUUACUGGGUGUAAAGGGAGCGUAGACGGCAGCACAAGUCUGGAGUGAAAUCCCGGGGCUUAACCCCGGAACUGCUUUGGAAACUGUGCGGCUGGAGUGCAGGAGGGGUAAGCGGAAUUCCUAGUGUAGCGGUGAAAUGCGUAGAUAUUAGGAGGAACACCGGUGGCGAAGGCGGCUUACUGGACUGUAACUGACGUUGAGGCUCGAAAGCGUGGGGAGCAAACAGGAUUAGAUACCCUGGUAGUCCACGCCGUAAACGAUGAUUACUAGGUGUCGGGGGAUCAAG